ACAAAACACCUCACACACACACACACACCCGGCCCGUGAGGGACCAGAAUAUGUCUUUUUAAAAAAGAGCUUUUCCGGCGCUGUUCUCGGCGGAAAUGUUGGGCGGCGGCAGCGUAGACGAGACCCGGCUUGAGGACCUCGUCCACACGGGCAGCUGAGGAACCCGUUCGGCUUCGAAUUGGGAAGGAAGGACCCGCGGAGGAGGGCUCGGGGCGGAAUUAAAAGGCCGCCCGGCCUAACCGCCAGAGGCUCCCUGCAAGCGCCGAGGCCCCAAAGCCUCAGACAAUAACUGCGCUGCCCCUCCCCCCGCCCCACCGCCGUCCAGCAUAAACCACCGCAGCCACCGAGCGCUCCCGGUUCCGCCCUUCCCUUCCCUGUCAACCAAUUAGUGCCGCGCAAGUCUCAUUUUCGGCCAAUCGUUUAAAAAGAAAAAGCUCCCGUCAAACGGGCGUGCCUACGUCACCGCGUGCGGCAAGAAGACGCCUGCAAUCGCUUGUACUUCCCCAAUUGUGGUGAGGCGAGCCGCGAGGCUAUGGAGCUGAGAUCAUCAUCAAAGCCUGCAGAAAAUGCAGAAAUAAUGGUCUAUCACCCUACAGAACUAGACAGCCAUGCAUGUCAGGUCAUGGGAAGAAUGUGAUGAAACUUGCUUAUGCAUUCACGAGACUCUCAAUUCAGGCUGUGGCAAUAUUGUGUUUCCCAAGACACACAAUUAUGUUCCACCAUUGUCAAACCAGUAUUACAGCUUUCAGACAUACGUUCCUGCUGUGCUCAAUUCAUAUAAUAAACCUUUAUUUAGUGUACCCUAA